GAUGAACGCUGGCGGCGUGCCUAAUACAUGCAAGUCGAGCGAACAGACGAGGAGCUUGCUCCUCUAACGUUAGCGGCGGACGGGUGAGUAACACGUGGAUAACCUACCUAUAAGACUGGGAUAACUUCGGGAAACCGGAGCUAAUACCGGAUAAUAUAUUGAACCGCAUGGUUCAAUAGUGAAAGACGGUUUUGCUGUCACUUAUAGAUGGAUCCGCGCCGCAUUAGCUAGUUGGUAAGGUAACAGCUUACCAAGGCAACGAUGCGUAGCCGACCUGAGAGGGUGAUCGGCCACACUGGAACUGAGACACGGUCCAGACUCCUACGGGAGGCAGCAGUAGGGAAUCUUCCGCAAUGGGCGAAAGCCUGAUGGAGCAACGCCGCGUGAGUGAUGAAGGUCUUCGGAUCGUAAAACUCUGUUAUUAGGGAAGAACAAAUGUGUAAGUAACUAUGCACGUCUUGACGGUACCUAAUCAGAAAGCCACGGCUAACUACGUG
rnacentral:rRNA from 1 species